AGUGGCGAACGGGUGAGUAACACGUAGGUUAUCUGCCUCUGGACGGGGGAUAGCCCAUGGAAACAUGGGGUAAUACCGCAUAAAGCCGGAUACUUUAAGGGUAUUUGGUGAAAGGCGCUUUUGUGUCGUCUGGAGAUGAGCCUGCGGUCCAUUAGUUAGUUGGUAGGGUAAAGGCCUACCAAGACGAUGAUGGAUAGCCGGCCUGAGAGGGUGUACGGUCACACUGGGACUGAGACACGGCCCAG
rnacentral:rRNA from 1 species